UAAUACAUUUCAAGAAAGAAAGUCUUAUCGAGCAAUUCUCAAGCGAGCCUGUGGUAGUGAAAGUCAGGUGAAGGAAAGAUAAAGAUUGGCACUUUCGGAAUGAAUCUGAAAUAAAAUGAAGUAAUAAAUUAGGGUGGAACCGCGUCUCAACGCCCCUAUG
rnacentral:misc_RNA from 1 species